rnacentral:lncRNA from 1 species
UGAUGAGUCACUGGGGGAAGUUGGGCUACAUUCAGCUCCCUUGAAAGAAAGCAAGGAAGUGUGGCACGCAUUGAAAAUGCUCUCUCAAACCAGGCUUCUUCAAAAGAAAUCGGAGUGGACUCUUCAAAUAGUCCUUCUAGAGACUGAAGUGGCUCAGUUGGUGAUGUGUCUGCUGGGCAAGCAUGAGGACCUGAGUUCCAGCACCUGUGCAAAAGCAGAGCGAGCAGUGUACUGUCAUCACAGCACUGGGGAGGCAGAGGCAGCCUGACCCCUGAAGCUUAUUGGUCAGCCCAGCUUAGUGCAACUGGUGCAUUGCCAGUUCAGUAAAAUAGACUGUCUCAAAAAGGUGGAGAGCAAUUGAGGAGGACACGUGACAUUGACCCUUGUAUGUAUACCAGCUUGUACAUGGACCAUAUACAGGGAGGUGGGUGGGGAGGUAGAGAGAUCGCGCUUUU